GUUCGGACUCUUCUUCUUAUCCUCUCCUCCCACUUCAAUCACCGAAGGCCCUAUAGCCCUAUAGCCUUCGCAUCUGGAAAGGAGGAGAGGGAAAGGAAGGGAGGGAGGGAGGGAGGGAGGGAGAGAGAGAGAGAGAGAGAGAGAGAGAGAGAGAGAGAGAGAGAGAGAGAGAGAGGCGCACAGGGCAGCCUAGACUCGCGGCCUGAGAAAGGUGGCACAGCAGCUUCCCGCCCACGCGCCUCUCUCCGGGAAAGUUCCUUUCCUAGAGUUGAACAAAUCACCGGUCCGGGUCCCCAGCCAGGCACUGACCGUCGCCUUCCUGGAGCUCAUGGAACACGAAGCCCAGGCAGAGCCCUCCAGGCACGCGGGCUUGCAGAAUGCUUCUCCAGGGCGAAGGCGCUGCAAGCUGAAGGCAGUGCACCUUGCGGCGUGGGUUCCUGGCACCACGCUGCCCUCUGACUAGUUGGUGACUAAUGCAUGAGACUCUCUGGUUGUGUUCCGUUCGCACUCAAAGUCCUCGAAUCGGACCGUAAUUAAGAUGAAAUGAUGAGGUCGGAGGCUGCAUGCUAGGUUUUUGCAGCAACGUCCAGAAAAUUGAGCACGCAACGCUCUCCAAGGGGGUCUGGGGAACCCUGAGUUUGGGCCUGGGUUUGGCAGACCGCUCCGGAUGCUCAAAUGCAAGCUGCAAGAAACCUAACACGCCCCUUGCUAACUAAUUACUCCACCUCAGAGUACAAGCGUAGAACCCUGUUCGGUGUUUAGUGCAUCUAAGAAGGGUUACACUGCAAGUGAAUCUUCCUUUGGCUCUAGACGCGACUGCGGAGCAUGAAAUGUCUGCUAAGCUAUAUUCUGCUCCAGAGCCUCAGGUUGCAGGCCCUCUGCAGAAGCGGGAGUGUUUCGUGUGCUGGGCGGGCGCUGUGGACUUGGCUUAGUUCCCGCCUUCCCUUGCUCGUCAUCACCUUCUCUUACCCACCCUCCUCGUCCUCCUCCUGCUUUCCCUUUCCUACUCUUUGUCUAGAAUUAUCUUUCAGACCUCUUGCUCCCUACUGAUAAAUGUCAAAUAAAAAAGAGGCAGGGUAGAUUGGGAGCUCUAUGUUUCUCCCUUCAAGAAGUGUGCCUCAGAACGAUGAAGGCUGUGGGUUACAGUGAUCUAUGGUCGCCCCACUGCAAUCCUGCCACUGCACUCCAGCCUGGGAGAAAAAGAGAGACCCUGUACCUUAAAAAAGAAAAUGGUUCCUCGGGAUGAUGCUGGGCCCGGUGGUGCGUGCCUGUAAUCCUAGCUACUCCAGGAGGCUGAGGCGGGAGGAUCGCUUUAGCCCAGGAGUUUGAGACCAGCCUGAGUAACACAGCAAGACCCCCAUCUCUCAAAAAAUAAAAAACAAAAAUAGCGGGACGUGGUGGCACGCACCUGAAGUCUAAGCUACUCACCUAGCUGAAGCGGGAAAAUCGCUUGAACCUAAGCGUUGGAGACUGUAGUGAGCUAUUUUUACCAGCGGAGGCUGUUCAGUUUGUUGGCGUUUUGAACAAAGAAUUGGACAAAACUCGCAAGGAAACAAUGAAGCAACAAAAGCAGAGAUUUAUGGAAAACGAAAGUUCACUCCACAGGGUGGGAGCAGGCCUGAGCAGCCACUCAAGGGCCCCGAUACAGAAUCUUCUCGGGUCCAAAUACCCCCUAGAAGUUUCCCAUUGGCUACUAGGUGUUCACCUUAGGUAAAUGAAGUGAUGACUGGCAAUCAGUCUAAAUGGUUGUGGAAAGCAACCAAUCAGAGGCUGAAGUGAAGUCACAAAGUUCCAUUCCUCUGCAAAGGUCUGAUUGGUUCCAAAAAGCAACCAAUCAGAGGUACUUUUAAUUUCCCGUCUGCCCAGCAGAUAAGGUGGGGGUUUGCAAAGGGAGUAGCCACAGGUGCUUUUGUUACUUAGGCGUGGGAAGUUAGGGCUUUCCUUUCAAUUUAGUUCUAGGAUGUCAGCCUGAAACGGCAUUAGGUUCACUGCUUCCAGACCCUAUUCUCCUGCCUCACUAUGAUCACACCACUGCACUCCAUCCUGAACUACAGACUGAGACCCUAGCUGUAAAACAUAAAACAAAAUAAAAAAUAAGAAUCAGGCCUUGGAAUGAGUUGGUUUCCUGAAUAUUGGGAUUAUUUAGCCAAUUUUGGCCUUCAGAACCACCACUGUCAUCAGGCCUAUUUAAUAAAUUAAACAAUUUUCAUAGGCCCCUAAAAAGAACUGGGACCCCCACUCACUUUGCCCACUCUGCCUGACAGAUAAAUCUCUCCUCUCUCCCAUUCCUGGAUGGUAGAUAGGAAGCCAGCUACAGAAUGGUUGGUUGACCAAUUCACUCUGAAAAAGCUGUCAAGGAAUUUCACCCACAGACUGUCCCUGACAUUAACCAAGACGUCUCCUCCUCAGGCUGGAUCUUGCAGGGUCCGGCAGACCUCACCCUUCUCAUGGCCAGACACACUUUGAUGAAUUUUCGCCUGGGAUCAGUUACUAUGUGAGAGACCUACAAUGGUUUUAAUCAUGGUGUGUAUUAGCCCAACUCGGAUAUCUGUCAGAAUUGGAGUUGUGUGGUGUCUCACAGCUGAGAUUUCCAUGACUUGCUUCAGUGCUUUCUAAAUUUCAGUAGUCAUUUCUGUGUCCCUUUGGUGAGUGUUACCUACCAGAGCACCAAUCAAAGUAGUAUUUACUUUAAAAUUUUUAGUUAAAUUGAUUCACUUCUUGUAAAUGCUACGUACUGAAUUGAGCCUCAUCCCAAUAAGCAUAGGCACAAAUGAUGGGUUUGAUGUCCUAGAUUUAUGAGGGCAGGGACCCUGGAGCCAGACUGCUGGCAUCUGCAUGAUGGCAUUGCUUGACAUUUGCUAGCUAGCUCACCUGAUGAGUUGCCUUUUCUCUCUGUGCUUCAAUUUUCUCAUCUGUAAAAUGAGGUGAUAAUAAUAUCUACCUCAUGGAGCAGUUGUGGAGAUUAAUUGAGAUGAUACCAAUGGUAGCUCACACUUACCUGGUUCUUACUGUGUUCUAGGCAAUGAUCUAAAUGAUUUGUUUAUAUGAACACAUGUAAUCCUCUUAACAAACCUAUAUACACAUUGAUGUGCUAUUAUACGUCAUUUUACAGGUGGUGUUAUUGAGUCACCAAGGUGUUAAGUAUCCUGCUCAAAUUCACUCACUUGGGAAAUGUCCAAAGCUGAGAUUUGAACCCAUCCUCUGAGUAUUAUUCCUAACAGAGAGGAUGUGCCCAAUGACAUUUGCAAUUAUGGUAUAAUUAUUAUUCUUUUGUAAUUAGUUAACUAGAAAUAAGCAGAAAUAAAAGUAUCAUUCAUCUCAAAAUUUCUUUCACUUGUUUGAAUAUCGAAUUAGUGCCAUAGAUAUCUACUGGUACCUCCCUCAUUAGUAACCGAGGGAUAAGUGAGGAUAUCUAGAAUAACAAGUUUAAACCAGGAUGCUGAAGAAAAGUGGCUGAACUCAGAAAGUUAACCAUUCUCCUCAACACUGCAUUUUUGUUUAUCGUUGGAAUCAGUUAGUCCUGUAGAUAAGUGGUUGCACACAUGAAAAUAGUUAAACAAAUCCCAGCUCUGGACAUUUCCCCAGUGGGUGACUUUGAGCAGGUUACAUAACAUCUGUGUGACUCAAUAACAUCACACCUGUAACAUGUCAAUAACAGAUAAAGCCAGAGAGUGAAGAACAUCUUCUUCCUAUAACCAACUUCUUAUUUCUUGUUAGCAUAAUGAGUUAGUUCUAUAUAACAAGGGGCACAUAGGUAACUACUGAACUGGAGAUAAUGAGAGAUAACUGGAAAACAGAGAAGCCUGGAACCUAGAAAGCAAUUUUCAACAAGACAAAAUUCUUAUGUUUCAUUGAUAAAAUCAAUUUGUACUAUAGACAUCAAGUGGUAGGUAGGUCAAUAGCAAAUUUAAGUAAAGUAGAAAUAAUUAGAAAAUAACUUGAAGGUAUGAAUCUGAAAAAUCAGGAUUUACCACUCUAACUUCUGAUUUCUUGUUAUAAUAAUGAGCUAAUACUAUAGAUAACUGGUGAUACGUAUUGAUGUGGUUUGGCUCUGUGUCCCCACCCAAAUCUCAUCUUGAAUUGUACUCCCAUAAUACCCACAUGUUGUGGGAGGUACCCGGUGGGAGAUAAUUUGAAUCAUGGGGGCGGUUUCCCCCAUACUGUUCUCGUGGUAGUGAAUAAGUCUCAUGAGAUCUGGUGGUUUUAUCAGGGGAUUCUGCUUUUGCAUCUUCCUCAUUUUCUCUUGCGGCUGCCAUGUAAGAAGUGCCUUUUGCCUCCCACCAUGAUUCUGAGGCCUCCCCAAACACGUGGAACUGUAAGUCCAAUUAAAUCUCUUUUUCUUCCCAGUCUCAGGUAUGUCUUCACCUGCAGCAUGAAAAUGGACUAAUACACCUCUUUAAUGAGGUUACAAGAGGUAACUAAAGAUAAUUAGGACAUGCAUUUGACGUCGAAAUUGAAAUGCACAGUCUUAAAAAAUUGUUUUUCUGGCUGGGCAUGGCAACUUAUGCCUGUAAUCCCAGCACUUUAGGAGGCCGAGGUGGGCGGGUCACCUGAGGUUAGGAGUUUGAGACUAGCCUGGCCAACAUGGUGAAACCCUGUCUCUACUAAAAAUAUAAAAAUUAGUUGGGCAUGGUAUUGGGUGCCUGUAAUCCCAGUUACUCGGGAGGCUGAGACAGGAGAAUUGCUCGAACCUGGGAGGUGGAGGUUGCAGUGAGCCAUGAUUGUGCCAUUGCCCUCCAGCCUGGGCAAUGGAGCGAGACUCUGUCUCAAAAACAAACAAAAAAAUUGUGUUUCUUUUCUAGAGACAGGGUUUCACUAUGUUACCCAAGCUGGUCUUGAAUUCCUGGGCCCAAGCAAUCCUCCUGCCUCAGCCUCCUGAGUAACUUGGAUUACAGAUGUGAGACAUUUGUAUUUGUACAAACUUAUGGGAUACAUGAGGAAUUUAGUUGCAUGAAUUUAAUGCAUAGUGUCAAGUCAGGGUAUUAGGGUAUCCAUCAUCCAAGUACAUUUUUGUUAAGUAUACUCAUCCUACUCUGCUAUCAAACAUUGAAUUUAUUCCUUCUAUCUUACUGUAUGUUUGCACCCUUCCACCCACUUCUCUUCAUCAUCCCCCCUCCCUCUGCUCUUUCUAUUCUAUGUUAUCUAUUUUUGCCCUCUCUGCUUCCAUGUGUCCACAUUUUUAAGCUCCCACAUAUAAGUGAGAACAUGUGAUACUUCUCUUUUUGUGCCUGGUUUACUUCCCUUAAGGUAAUGACCUGCAGUUCCAUCCAUGUUGCUGCAAAUGGCAUUAUUUCAUUCUUUUUUAUGGCUGAAUAUUAUCUCUUCCUGAGAGGCCUUAGACUGAGCCAAUAUUUAACGCUGGCUACAAGAAAAUAGGUUCACCCAAGAUAGAUGGUCUUUGUAGAUGUUAGUUUCAGCUGCAAAAUUAUGAACCAGUCUCGGGAGGAGUCCAGUAGCUUCAGCAUUCAAGGCCCCAGAUACAGAAUCUUCUCAGGUCCAAGUACCCCCUAGAGGUUUCCCACUGGCCACUUGGUGUCCACCUCAUGUAAAUGAAGUGGUAGCCUGCAAUCAUUCUGAUUGGUUGCUUGUCACAACCAAUCAGAGGCUGAAAUAAAGUUACAAGGUUCACAGCCAAUCAGAGGUGAAUGUGAAGUUACAAAGUUGCACUUCUAUGCAAAGUAAGACUUGGCCCACAAUCAGUUUGAUUGGUUGCAGACAGCAAUCAAUCAGAGGCUGAGGUGAAGUUACAAAGUUACACUCCUACGCAAAGGUCCAAAUGGUUGCAAAAAGUACCAGUCACAGGUACUUUCAACUUCCCAUUGGCCCUGCAGAAAAAGUGGGUUUUGCAAAGGGUGUAGCCUCUGGUCCUUUUGUUAUUUAGGCAUGGAAAGUUAGGGUUUUUGUUUCAAUUUAGUUCUAGGAAGUAAGCGUGGAACGGCCUUAGGUUUUCUGCCUCCAGACCUUAUUUUCCUGCUUCAGAAGGGCUGAAAACUCAAGGAUCCCACCCAAGCAGAAGCACUGGGUCAUUUUACCUUUAGGAAAAUUAAUCAACCUCCCUUGAAGGUAUUCGGUAUCCUUGUGUCCACGCUUUCUGGCCUUGAGAGGUUGAUGCACUUUGUACCCUCUUCACAAAUGGCCAAGUAUGCUUCCUCUGCAACAGCCCUCAUUUCCCCCAAUAUUUUUGCAAAGCCAAGUCAGCCAACCAACAGUACAACCCGUGAGCAAAAGCCAGUUCUGUGCUUGUGUUAAAUUAACGUUUUUAGGAAAGCAGGCUAACAGCUUGGAAACUGUCAUGAUGCAAUGCAAUUGGUAUUUGUUUUGAAAUAUGUAACUUAUGGUUUGCCUCAAUAAAUAUCACACUUGCUCCUUCUCAGAUAUCAGCACAGAACUAUGGGACAGGGACCCUCACUUCAGUGGUAUAAACAAAAUUUAAUUUUCAACUACACACCAAUGGGCUGGAUCCCCCCAUACAAAGGGUAGAUCUUUUUUUUUUUUUUUUUUGAGACGGAGUCUCGCUCUGUGGCCCAGGCUGGAGUGCAGUGGCAUGAUCUCGGCUCACUGCAAGCUCCACCUCCCGGGUUCACGCCAUUCUCCUGCCUCAGCCUCUCUAGUAGCUGGGACUACAGGCGCCCGCCACCUCGCCCAGCUAAUUUUUUGUAUUUUCAGUGAGACCGAGGUUUCACCGUGUUAGCCAGGAUGGUCUCGAUCUCCUGACCUCGUGAUCUGCCCACCUCGGCCUCCCAAAGUGCUGGGAUUACAGGCAUGAGCCACCGCACCCGGCUGGUAGAUCUUUUUAAAAUUUUUUUUUUUGUAGAGCAUGGGUUUCGCUUUGUUACCCAGGCUGGUCUCUAACUCCUGGCCUCGAACAAUACUCCUACCUCAGCCUCCCAAAGUGCUGGAAUUACAGGCAUGAGCCACCACGUCCAGAUGAAGGGUAGAUCUUAAGGUGAAUGUGUGAAUUCCUAACAUUUACAUGCCAGUGUUUUAGAUUCUGGGAAUACAAAAGAUACCUCGUACACACAUUCUUGAUUUUACAAUCAAGGGACACGAGAGAUUGAAGUGGUGACAUUCAGGCAUAGACACCAUAACUGAUUUACCUAGACUCAUCCCAAGCACAGCAUCCAGACUAAAUUAGAGCCACUAUGAGAAGUGCAGGUUUGGAGCGUGACUUUUUCCUCUGAUAGGCCCAAGAAUUUUGGUUUAAGAAAAAAAAAAAAAAUAGAGGCAGGGCAGAAGGCAAGGAAGAAUCUCUGUCCAUUUCAUUUUUGAACGAGGGGCAAAAAGAUGAAACAAAAGAUGUUUUAAAAUCAGAAGUGGAGAAGAAGGCUGUGGAAACCUAGUGGAGAGAGGAAUCCAUGGGAAUGACAGAGCCCAGAGCUGUUGUUCACUUUUAGGGAGCUGUGUGGUAACGGGGAGCUGGGAGUAGGGCAUCCACUCAGUGUUAGCCAGUGGGGCACAAAAAGAUGGUUGUGGUCAACUGGGUUUUAUAGGAGAAAGGAAAACAGAACUCAGGUUCAUAUACAAAUGGAUUUCUAAUGUCUCCUUCCACAGCCCCCAUUACAAGGUCAAGCAGUAGGGCCUGUCUUUUCUCUUUUUCUCUCUCACCUACCUGCCUUUUAACUCAGUUGGUCUUCUUAAGGGGCUUACCAGGAUUGAAACAUUGAUUAAGAAGGAGUGAAAGUCAGGACUGGGAGGGGCAUCUCACAAUGUGACUGGCCCUGGCGCAGGUCCCUAAGCCUAACACCCCAGGAAACAUCCAGGAUUGUCCUAUUUCUUCAUUUGAUCAGAAGAUAUUUCCAAGAAUGUCCAAUUAAUUCUAUGCGCCUACUCACCACAUCAAAACUGCAAUUCCAACAGGGAGUCAGAAAAAUUUUGAAAGGUGUUAACUUGGUUCUUCCGCUGUUUGUUUAGCAUAGAGACUUGGACUUCUGAGGUAUCCAUAACCAAAUCUGUCCUUCCCCGAGAUGGAUUAUGAUCCAGAGAUAUUGCAUAGUGAUAUAUUAAGCUGAAUCUUUAAUUCAGCAAACCAAGAUAGGGGGUUAGUUCUGGAUAAAAAUUAAGCAGAUUAAACCAUUGGGUAUGGACCAAAUAUUUCUCGUUUGUUCUUUUACCUGGACCAAUUAGAUGGAUUCCUUUUUCAUUGCUACAAACUGUCAUUUUUGCUAUUCAUUUAUUCAUCCAUUUAUUCCCUGUUGUCUUAGAAUAGAUAGGCAGAUACAGAGAAUUACAGUUUACCAGGAGUAGAAGCCCACCAGCAGAAACCCACAGUUGGAGCCAAUAUGAGUAGGAAAACUUUCAACUGUCAUUGUUGAAUUUCUAGAAGCUCAGCAUGGACUAUCUGGAGAGUUAAAACUCCAAGGGUGGUGGCAGCCUUAAGGGGACUGCACAUUUUCAUGAGUUUUAUCUCCAGAAGCCCCACCAAGUUGUCACUGGGAAGGGAGGGCAUGGGAAUCCCUUCCUGCUUCCAGCAGGUGGACAAGAAAAGCAAUCAUUUUGAAAUAUGCCCAGAGCUCUUUGUUUUCCUUAACCAAGGACUACUCUGGGAAGAAACUAUUUUAUCAGAGCCUAACCAACUUGGGUUUCCCCAGACUGACCAACCACGGCGAAAGGAAGUACUCAACUCCAGCCCCGUCUAGUCUGCCAUCUAACCCAAAAGGAUGGGUGGGGACGCUGAGAAGCACUUGUAAAGGUCACAGCCCAGGGACACAGGCUCAGUGAACAACUGAGAUCUAAUCAUGGCAUGAUAGAAUGCUUGCCCUCCUCCCAACCUUAUCACCACAUCAGUAAGAAUCCUGUAUAAUAACUGCAGAUUAUAGGUGAAUUACAGCUGAAAAGACUGCAAGCCUCACAUUAUAUGUAAGAAGGAGCCUCUAGAAAAACUCAAAGACAACAAAGGACCCUACCAAGACAAGGACCCUUCAACAAACUUUAACUUCUGACACCUAAAGUUACAGCCAACAGUAAACAGCCUAAUCUUCCUAGCCAGAGAACCAUAAAACCUCACACAAAAGUACUAUCUACCUGAGUUUUUUUUUUUUCCUUUUUCCUUUUUUUGUAGUGACAGGGUCUCACUGUAUUAUUGCCCAGGCUGGUCUCGAAUUCCUGGCCUCAAGUGAUCCUCUGACUCAGCCUUCCAAAGUGCUGGGAUUACAGGCAUGAGCCACCACACCCAGCCUACCUCAGUUCUUUCUACCCAGUACAUCAG
rnacentral:lncRNA from 10 species